rnacentral:rRNA from 1 species
AGAGUUUGAUCAUGGCUCAGAUUGAACGCUGGCGGCAGGCUUAACACAUGCAAGUCGAGCGGGGGAGGUUGCUUCGGUAACUGACCUAGCGGCGGACGGGUGAGUAAUACUUAGGAAUCUGCCUAUUAAUGGGGGACAACAUCUCGAAAGGGAUGCUAAUACCGCAUACGCCCUACGGGGGAAAGCAGGGGAUCACUUGUGACCUUGCGUUAAUAGAUGAGCCUAAGUCGGAUUAGCUAGUUGGUGGGGUAAAGGCCUACCAAGGCGACGAUCUGUAGCGGGUCUGAGAGGAUGAUCCGCCACACUGGGACUGAGACACGGCCCAGACUCCUACGGGAGGCAGCAGUGGGGAAUAUUGGACAAUGGGGGGAACCCUGAUCCAGCCAUGCCGCGUGUGUGAAGAAGGCCUUAUGGUUGUAAAGCACUUUAAGCGAGGAGGAGGCUCUUUUGGUUAAUACCCAAGAUGAGUGGACGUUACUCGCAGAAUAAGCACCGGCUAACUCUGUGCCAGCCGCCGCGGUAAUAC